AACGAACGCUGGCGGCAGGCUUAACACAUGCAAGUCGAGCGCCCCGCAAGGGGAGCGGCAGACGGGUGAGUAACGCGUGGGAAACUACCCUUUGGUACGGAAUCACACAGAGAAAUUUGUGCUAAUACCGUAUGUGCCCUUCGGGGGAAAGAUUUAUCGCCAUAGGAUGUGCCCGCGUAGGAUUAGCUAGUUGGUGUGGUAAUGGCGCACCAAGGCGACGAUCCUUAGCUGGUCUGAGAGGAUGACCAGCCACACUGGGACUGAGACACGGCCCAGACUCCUACGGGAGGCAGCAGUGGGGAAUAUUGGACAAUGGGCGCAAGCCUGAUCCAGCCAUGCCGCGUGAGUGAUGAAGGCCUUAGGGUUGUAAAGCUCUUUCACCCACGACGAUAAUGACGGUAGUGGGAGAAGAAGCCCCGGCUAACUUCGUGCCAGCCGCCGCCGUAACAC
rnacentral:rRNA from 1 species